rnacentral:sRNA from 1 species
UUUAUUCAGUACUGCCGAAGACAGCAGGUGCUCUUUGGAGCGUAAGCAAGUAAACGCCUGCCGAGGAAGGAUAGAUUUGAUACGCUUAGUAUGAAUUUACGAACCUUUGUGUCUUUAUGGCCCGAAGGUUCUUUUUAUA